GAUGAACGCUAGCUACAGGCUUAACACAUGCAAGUCGAGGGGUAACAAGAGAAAAGCUUGCUUUUCUUGUUGACGACCGGCGCACGGGUGAGUAACGCGUAUCCAACCUGCCUAUAACUAGGGAAUAACCUUGCGAAAGUAAGACUAAUACCCUAUGAUUUCCUUUGAUGACAUCAGAUUAGGAAUAAAGAUUUAUCGGUUAUAGAUGGGGAUGCGUCUGAUUAGCUUGUUGGCGGGGUAACGGCCCACCAAGGCAACGAUCAGUAGGGGUUCUGAGAGGAAGGUCCCCCACAUUGGAACUGAGACACGGUCCAAACUCCUACGGGAGGCAGCAGUGAGGAAUAUUGGUCAAUGGGCGGAAGCCUGAACCAGCCAAGUAGCGUGCAGGAUGACGGCCCUAUGGGUUGUAAACUGCUUUUAUACAGGAAUAAAGUUAGCCACGUGUGGCUAUUUGUAGGUACUGUAUGAAUAAGGACCGGCUAAUUCCGUGCCAGCAGCCGCGGUAAUAC
rnacentral:rRNA from 1 species